rnacentral:rRNA from 1 species
GACGAACGCUGGCGGUGUGCUUAACACAUGCAAGUCGAACGGAAAGGCCCUGCUUUUGUGGGGUGCUCGAGUGGCGAACGGGUGAGUAACACGUGAGUAACCUGCCCUUGACUUUGGGAUGACUUCAGGAAACUGGGGCUAAUACCGGACAGGAGCUCCUGCUGCAUGGUGGGGGUUGGAAAGUUUCGGCGGUUGGGGAUGGACUCGCGGCUUAUCAGCUUGUUGGUGGGGUAGUGGCUUACCAAGGCUUUGACGGGUAGCCGGCCUGAGAGGGUGACCGGCCACAUUGGGACUGAGAUACGGCCCAGACUCCUACGGGAGGCAGCAGUGGGGAAUAUUGCACAAUGGGCGGAAGCCUGAUGCAGCAACGCCGCGUGCGGGAUAACGGCCUUCGGGUUGUAGACCGCUUUCGCCUGUGACGAAGCGUGAGUGACGGUAAUGGGUAAAGAAGCACCGGCUAACUACGUG